AUACGUAGGUGGCAAGCGUUAUCCGGAUUUAUUGGGCGUAAAGCGAGCGCAGGCGGUCUUUUAAGUCUAAUGUGAAAGCCUUCGGCUCAACCGAAGAAGUGCAUUGGAAACUGGGAGACUUGAGUGCAGAAGAGGACAGUGGAACUCCAUGUGUAGCGGUGAAAUGCGUAGAUAUAUGGAAGAACACCAGUGGCGAAGGCGGCUGUCUGGUCUGUAACUGACGCUGAGGCUCGAAAGCAUGGGUAGCGAACAGGAUUAGAUACCCUGGUAGUCCAUGCCGUAAACGAUGAUUACUAAGUGUUGGAGGGUUUCCGCCCUUCAGUGCUGCAGCUAACGCAUUAAGUAAUCCGCCUGGGGAGUACGACCGCAAGGUUGAA
rnacentral:rRNA from 2 species